UGGGCCGUCCUGAUAGCGGUUUUGUUUAGCUGCUGGCCCGCAGAUGUGGUGCUCAGGCGCUGCACGCAAGCCUGCGUGCCCUAGUAUAUUGUUUUUUAGGCUCCGCUUUUGUUUCAUGUUAGUUAUUUUAUUACUUGUUUUAUUUAUGUUUGUUAGAGCUUGUACGGGGAUCCUUUUAGCUUUAACAUCGCAUACCUUCUUUGAGCACAAAACGUACACAUCUUCUUUGAGCACAAAACGUACACACGAUACGUUGACCAAGAAAUCACCUUACCCUUUUCUUCCUAUUUACUUGUGAUUUUUCUCCAUGCUUUCCCAUUUGACCACCAUAGCAACUGGCCAUCGUUAGCCCCACUCUCGACUAAUUUUGAUCCGUUUCAAUCGAACCCAACCAUAUACGAAGUUGUUAGUCCGAUCCAAUCUCAAUUUUGCGAGCAUGUAUAGCUCCAAGUGAAGCUGUUAUCCUCGCUUCCAACCACCUUCUUAUUUCACCACCCCAAAUUGCUCCCCACUGCCUCAAAUUGGUCACCACCACUUCAACUCCUCAAAUUUGUCGCCACCUCCACCCCAAUAGCUGUUGUCUUCAAUUGCCAUGACCCUACUAGCUACCACCGGCACUCAACCUUAGUUGUCAUUGGCCUCGACCCG
rnacentral:lncRNA from 1 species